rnacentral:rRNA from 1 species
UACGGGGGGGCAAGCGUUGUUCGGAAUUACUGGGCGUAAAGGCUCGUAGGCGGCCAACUAAGUCAGACGUGAAAUCCCUCGGCUUAACCGGGGAACUGCGUCUGAUACUGGAUGGCUUGAGUUCGGGAGAGGGAUGCGGAAUUCCAGGUGUAGCGGUGAAAUGCGUAGAUAUCUGGAGGAACACCGGUGGCGAAGGCGGUCUGCUGGGCGGUGAACUCGGCAAGAGUUCAAUAGCCGACACUGAGGCGCGACAGCGUGGGGAGCAAACAGG